rnacentral:rRNA from 1 species
CAGCAGCCGCGGUAAUACGUAGGUGGCAAGCGUUGUCCGGAAUUAUUGGGCGUAAAGGGCUCGCAGGCGGCUUCUUAAGUCUGAUGUGAAAGCCCCCGGCUCAACCGGGGAGGGUCAUUGGAAACUGGGAAACUUGAGUGCAGAAGAGGAGAGUGGAAUUCCACGUGUAGCGGUGAAAUGCGUAGAGAUGUGGAGGAACACCAGUGGCGAAGGCGACUCUCUGGUCUGUAACUGACGCUGAGGAGCGAAAGCGUGGGGAGCGAACAGGAUUAGAUACCCGCGUAGUCCCUGUCUCUUAUAC